rnacentral:sRNA from 1 species
UAAAUCGUACAAUCUACUACAUUUGGAGC